GAAAUGCGAUAAGUAAUGUGAAUUGCAGAAUUCAGUGAAUCAUCGAAUCUUUGAACGCACAUUGCGCCCCCUGGUAUUCCGGGGGGCAUGCCUGUUCGAGCGUCAUUUCACCACUCAAGCCUCGCUUGGUAUUGGGCAACUCGGUCCGCCGCGUGCCUCAAAUCGACCGGCUGGGUCUUCUGUCCCCUAAGCGUUGUGGAAACUAUUCGCUAAAGGGUGUUCGGGAGGCUACGCCGUAAAACAACCCCAUUUCUAAGGUUGACCUCGGAUCAGGUAGGGAUACCCGCUGAACUUAAGC
rnacentral:misc_RNA from 1 species